rnacentral:tRNA from 1 species
GCGCGAGUGGCGGAAUGGCAGACGCACUAGCUUGAGGGGCUAGCAGGAGCAAUCCUGUGCGAGUUCAAAUCUCGCCUCGCGCACCA